rnacentral:rRNA from 1 species
UACGUAGGGACCAAGCGUUGUUCGGAUUUACUGGGCGUAAAGGGCGCGUAGGCGGCGUGUUAAGUCACUUGUGAAAUCUCUAAGCUUAACUUAGAACGGUCAAGUGAUACUGAUGUGCUAGAGUGCAGAAGGGGCAACCGGAAUUCUUGGUGUAGCGGUGAAAUGCGUAGAUAUCAAGAGGAACCCCUGAGGUGAAGACGGGUUGCUGGGCUGACACUGACGCUGAGGCGCGAAAGCUAGGGUAGCAAACGGG